CCUUAGAGAGGAUGAUCCCUUCACCACAGAACUCUCACAGAUAGCUGAAUACUGAGGUACCCGGGGGAGGUAGGCAGGGAAAAUCAUCUUGUGUGUACCAACAGGAUGUCACGGUGUUCUAUCAGGACACAGACGAAGAAAGAAGGACGAGCUGCAGAAAGAAGUUGGACAUCUAAAGGAAAAUGCACUCCAAGUGACUUCUUCUGAUCUGUAUCCCAGGAUGGUUAUAGUAUCUGGACACCUGCACUAAGCUGUGAGGGGUGGUGAAGAGCUUAACAAAUCGCCUGCUGCCGUUUGCCCACCAGAGGAGAGCGUUCAGCAGGAGAUACUCGAGGAAUGGCUCAGGCGCCGUGACUGGAUGUAAGCUCGGUGGAAUAUGCUGCGCUGCUGGGGAUGAUAAGAGGAAUGAUCCAGACAAGUUUCAGCUUCUGCAACAGAAAGUGUCUUAUUUUCAAGUAGGGAUUUCUGCAUGGAUUUGAAGUAGUUUAUGUUUGAGCGUCUA